UCGAAUUCGUUCCAGCAACUUCCACUUCCACCUGGGCUGAGCUGCAUGCAGUAUUGUGUUGGUUGUUGUGAGCUGUUAUACUGUGAUACUGAGUGAAUAAAAAUGUCUGGAGGAGAGCAUGAAAGUGUGGCUGGGAGAGAGGAAGGUGAGAGUAUGAGAGUGAGUGAGAGUGCAGGUGUCAGUGUGAAUGUUGGUGGAAGAGGAGAGAGGAGAAGGAGGCGCCUUUAUCAGGGCAACAUUAGCAGUGGCACUGCCAGUGGCACCACUAGUAGACAACACGGACUUGGGUGGUCAGUGUCCCCAUCACCAAGUUCGGAAAGUGGAGGGGAGGAGUCGGCACCUGUUGCCAAAAAGAAUCGUGGCCCCAGGUUCACCACAGAUGAAAAUCUAGCUCUGGUGGCGGCUGUCACCAGACAUAAAGCCACACUGUUCACCACCACCGUGGGCAGUGAGGAGAAAUUUGCGGCCUGGAAGCGGGUCAGAGACGCUGUGGUCCAUGUUGGAGCAAAGGACCGAUCAGUCGAAUGUAUCCGCAAAAGGUAUUAUGACUGUAAAGCAACCGUCCUGCGUAAAAUAAAAAAAAAACAAGGAAUUCAGGAAGUGGGAGCAGGAGUUCCGGAACCAUCUCCUGCCAGAGGGUCGGAGUGAGACAGGCCUUGGUGGUCCUCAUAUGUCGCCUGAAUCCGAGAGUGCUGGCAAUCAACCAGGUCCAUCUGCAGGGAGGAUGGUCCGCCAUCAAAACUUGCCCCAAUCACCUGUCCUGUCCUCAGCAUCGGCUGAGAUAGAUGAGGAGGAGGAGGUGUCCCCAGGUGAACAACACCAACCACUCUCCCCCAACCCUAGCUCCUGGCUCUGUCCCAAGGGAUACUUACCUGCAGCUUGCUAAAGAAAUCCAAAGGCUGGCCAAGGAGAACAGGAACAUGUCGCGCGAAUUGCGCCGUAUGAAUCGCACCAUGGUUGAACUCCACCGAUCACAAAAACAAGAGUUCCAAGCCCUGUUGGCCAAACAAAUGGGAGAAUUUCAGGCCAUGUUGUCCCACCAUAGCCAACAACAGAUGCAGGCGAUGCAUGAUUUGAGGGUGGACGUUAUGCCCCAUAAGCAGCAGCAAUACCCCAAAAAAAAACUGAAAUAUACGGGACUAAAUUAUUUCGCCUUGUUGAUAUGUUUCAGUUGUUGUUCUGUUUAAGAUAUGUUAUUAUUACUACUGCAGCAUUGAAGGCCUUGGCCAUUCAAGAAAAAAAAAACAUUUUUUUCUUUAUCCUGUGUGGUGUCUAAAUUAUUACUAACAUUACAUUAUUUUUAUUUCCACUUUUUUUUUUUUUUGUGUUGUCCACAUCUUGGGGGAGAUUUAUCAAGACCUGUCCAGAGGAGAAGUUGCCCAUAGCAACCAAUCAGCUCGCUUCUUUAAUUUUUUAACAAGGCCUGUGCUAAAUGAAAGAACCAAUCUGACUGGUUGCUAUGGGCAACUGGGCAACUUUUCCUCUUGGCAGGUUUUGAUAAAUCUGCCCCCUUGUCCACAGUGCUCUCUGCUGACACCUUUGUCCGUAUUAGGAACUGUCUAGAGCAGCAGGAACUUUGCUAUGAAAAUGUUAUUCUAAUCUGGACAGUUCCUGGCUGACAUGUACAGAGGUGUCAGCAGAGAGAGCCCUGUGGACAGACUGGAGAGAAAUAAAUAAAAAAAUAAUACACUGACUUAUAUUUUCUAUUGGCACGUACAUUAUUCUGCGCAGAUUUGAUGUACUGCAUAUUAUGCUGCAGAUUUCAAUAUCUGCAAAAAAUAAUGUACGUGUGAAUUGACCAUUAUGCCUCUGGAAUAUUUGCUCCAUUCAUUUACUAGGGGUCCCUCUAGUGGCAGAGGCACUGUAAAGCACAACUGUUAUAAAGAAAAUUGAUGGAAUUUUAAGUUACUCACCAGUGAUUU